rnacentral:rRNA from 1 species
GGGUCACGUGUAACCGGAUGAGAGUACUGCUAUGAAUAAGGAACGGCUAACUCCGUGCCAGCAGCCGCGGUAAUACGGAGGAUCCGAGCGUUAUCCGGAAUUAUUGGGUUUAAAGGGUGCGCAGGCGGGUAAUUAAGUCAGCGGUGAAAUUUUGCGGCUUAACUGCUAACAGUUGCCUGUUGAAACUGGUUAUAGCUAGAGAUGUUGGUCUGCAGGAGUGCGGAAAUGUUGUGGUGUUAGCUGGUGAAAAUGACUUCGAUAUCACAAAGAACACCGAUUGCGAAGGCAGCACACUAAGUCAAUAUUGACGCUGAAGCACGAAAGUGUGGGGAUCAAACAGGAUUAGAUACCCUGGUAGUCCACCCUGUAGACGAUGAUAACUCGCUGCUGGCGAUACAUUGUAAGUGGUCAAGCGAAAGCCUUAAGUUAUCCACCUGGGGAGUACGACCGCAAGGUUG